rnacentral:rRNA from 1 species
GUAAGCUACUAAGAGCGAAUGGUGGAUGCCUUGACUGGUAAAGGCGAUGAAGGACGUACUAGACUGCGAUAAGCUACGGGGAGCUGUCAAGAAGCUUUGAUCCGUAGAUUUCCGAAUGGGGCAACCCAAUGUAUAGAGAUAUACAUUACCUAUAUAGGAGCGAACGAGGGGAAUUGAAACAUCUUAGUACCCUCAGGAAAAGAAAUCAAUAGAGAUUGCGUCAGUAGCGGCGAGCGAAAGCGCAAGAGGGCAAACCCAGUGCUUGCACUGGGGGUUGUAGGACUGCAAUGUGCAAGAGGUGAGUUUAGCAGAACAUUCUGGAAAGUAUAGCCAUAGAGGGUGAUAGUCCCGUAUGCGAAAAACAAACCUUAGCUAGCAGUAUCCUGAGUAGGGCGGGACACGAGAAAUCCUGUCUGAAGCUGGGUCGACCACGAUCCAACCCUAAAUACUAAUACCAGAUCGAUAGUGCACAAGUACCGUGAGGGAAAGGUGAAAAGAACUGAGGUGAUCAGAGUGAAAUAGAACCUGAAACCAUUUGCUUACAAUCAUUCAGAGCACUAUGUAGCAAUACAGUGUGAUGGACUGCCUUUUGCAUAAUGAGCCUGCGAGUUGUGGUGUCUGGCAAGGUUAAGCAAACGCGAAGCCGUAGCGAAAGCGAGUCUGAAUAGGGCGCUUAGUCAGAUGCUGCAGACCCGAAACGAAGUGAUCUAUCCAUGAGCAAGUUGAAGCUAGUGUAAGAACUAGUGGAGGACUGAACCCAUAGGCGUUGAAAAGCCCCGGGAUGACUUGUGGAUAGGGGUGAAAGGCCAAUCAAACUUCGUGAUAGCUGGUUCUCUCCGAAAUAUAUUUAGGUAUAGCGUUGUGUCGUAAUAUAAGGGGGUAGAGCACUGAAUGGGCUAGGGCAUACACCAAUGUACCAAACCCUAUCAAACUCCGAAUACCUUAUAUGUAAUCACAGCAGUCAGGCGGCGAGUGAUAAAAUCCGUCGUCAAGAGGGAAACAACCCAGACUACCAGCUAAGGUCCCUAAAUCUUACUUAAGUGGAAAACGAUGUGAAGUUACUUAAACAACCAGGAGGUUGGCUUAGAAGCAGCCAUCCUUUAAAGAAAGCGUAAUAGCUCACUGGUCUAGUGAUUUUGCGCGGAAAAUAUAACGGGGCUAAAGUAAGUACCGAAGCUGUAGACUUGAUUUUAUCAAGUGGUAGGAGAGCGUUCUAUUUGCGCCGAAGGUAUACCGGUAAGGAGUGCUGGAGCGAAUAGAAGUGAGCAUGCAGGCAUGAGUAGCGAUAAUUAAUGUGAGAAUCAUUAACGCCGUAAACCCAAGGUUUCCUACGCGAUGCUCGUCAUCGUAGGGUUAGUCGGGUCCUAAGUCGAGUCCGAAAGGGGUAGACGAUGGCAAAUUGGUUAAUAUUCCAAUACCAACAUUAGUGUGCGAUGGAAGGACGCUUAGGGCUAAGGGGGCUAGCGGAUGGAAGUGCUAGUCUAAGGUCGUAGGAGGUUAUACAGGCAAAUCCGUAUAACAUACUCCGAGAACUGAAAGGCUUUUUGAAGUCUUCGGAUGGAUAGAAGAACCCCUGAUGCCGUCGAGCCAAGAAAAGUUUCUAAGUUUAGCUAAUGUUGCCCGUACCGUAAACCGACACAGGUGGGUGGGAUGAGUAUUCUAAGGCGCGUGGAAGAACUCUCUUUAAGGAACUCUGCAAAAUAGCACCGUAUCUUCGGUAUAAGGUGUGGUUCGCUUCGUAUUAGGAUUUACUCCGAAAGCGAAGAAACUUACAACAAAGAGUCCCUCCCGACUGUUUACCAAAAACACAGCACUCUGCUAACUCGUAAGAGGAUGUAUAGGGUGUGACGCCUGCCCGGUGCUCGAAGGUUAAUUGAUGGGGUUAGCAUUAGCGAAGCUCUUGAUCGAAGCCCGAGUAAACGGCGGCCGUAACUAUAACGGUCCUAAGGUAGCGAAAUUCCUUGUCGGUUAAAUACCGACCUGCAUGAAUGGCGUAACGAGAUGGGAGCUGUCUCAAAGAGGGAUCCAGUGAAAUUGUAGUGGAGGUGAAAAUUCCUCCUACCCGCGGCAAGACGGAAAGACCCCGUGGACCUUUACUACAGCUUGACACUGCUAUUUGGAUAAGAAUGUGCAGGAUAGGUGGGAGGCUUUGAGUAUAUGACGCCAGUUGUAUAUGAGCCAUUGUUGAGAUACCACUCUUUCUUAUUUGGGUAGCUAACCAGCUUGAGUUAUCCUCAAGUGGGACAAUGUCUGGUGGGUAGUUUGACUGGGGCGGUCGCCUCCCAAAUAAUAACGGAGGCUUACAAAGGUUGGCUCAGAACGGUUGGAAAUCGUUCGUAGAGUAUAAAGGUAUAAGCCAGCUUAACUGCAAGACAUACAAGUCAAGCAGAGACGAAAGUCGGUCUUAGUGAUCCGGUGGUUCUGUGUGGAAGGGCCAUCGCUCAAAGGAUAAAAGGUACCCCGGGGAUAACAGGCUGAUCUCCCCCAAGAGCUCACAUCGACGGGGAGGUUUGGCACCUCGAUGUCGGCUCAUCGCAUCCUGGGGCUGGAGCAGGUCCCAAGGGUAUGGCUGUUCGCCAUUUAAAGCGGUACGCGAGCUGGGUUCAGAACGUCGUGAGACAGUUCGGUCCCUAUCUGCCGUGGGCGUAAGAAGAUUGAAGAGAUUUGACCCUAGUACGAGAGGACCGGGUUGAACAAACCACUGGUGUAGCUGUUGUUCUGCCAAGAGCAUCGCAGCGUAGCUAAGUUUGGAAAGGAUAAACGCUGAAAGCAUCUAAGCGUGAAGCCAACUCUAAGAUGAAUCUUCUCUAAGCUCUCUAGAAGACUACUAGUUUGAUAGGCUGGGUGUGUAAUGGAUGAAAGUCCUUUAGCUGACCAGUACUAAUAGAGCGUUUGGCUUAUCUUU